CCACCUUAUCGUCACACCAACCUCAAUCGCAUCCAUUGAUAAUUGCCUGCUCACCAACCGGAUUCUUCGUACUGGGGGUUAGAGUCCAAGAAAUGUCAUUUUUAAGAUCAUUGCAUUGAGAGUUUAGCUAGUUAGUUAAAAGAUGUGCAUUAUUAAUGCCUUGUUAUGAGAUGUUUUGUUGGCCCUAGGCUACCUCAUUACGGUCUAGCGCACUGCACAUAUAUGUUUACAUUCUCCAGCCGAGAUUUGAAACCGCAUUCAACUUUUUGUUGGCCCCACGUUCGAGUGUGGGAUGGUGAUUGAUUCUAUUUAGAAGUUUUAAAUCUAUCUUCUCUGAUUAACUAACUACUGAUCUCCCGCUUCCUCAGUUUACAUCAUCUUUCUUUCGUCACUCUAUAUAGUGAAAUUAUAAAAUAUGAAUAUAGAUACUUUUCAUAUAGAUUCUUAGUAUAAAAACAAUAAUUCCGAGCACGGUUUCGUG
rnacentral:sRNA from 2 species